UGGGGAAUUUUGGACAAUGGGCGAAAGCCUGAUCCAGCAAUGCCGCGUGUGUGAAGAAGGCCUUCGGGUUGUAAAGCACUUUUGUCCGGAAAGAAAUCCUUGGCUCUAAUACAGUCGGGGGAUGACGGUACCGGAAGAAUAAGCACCGGCUAACUACGUGCCAGCAGCCGCGGUAAUACGUAGGGUGCAAGCGUUAAUCGGAAUUACUGGGCGUAAAGCGUGCGCAGGCGGUUUGCUAAGACCGAUGUGAAAUCCCCGGGCUCAACCUGGGAACUGCAUUGGUGACUGGCAGGCUAGAGUAUGGCAGAGGGGGGUAGAAUUCCACGUGUAACAGUGAAAUGCGUAGAGAUGUGGAGGAAUACCGAUGGCGAAGGCAGCCCCCUGGGCCAAUACUGACGCUCAUGCACGAAAGCGUGGGGGAGCAAACAGGAUUAGAUACCCUGGUAGUCCACGCCCUAAACGAUGUCAACUAGUUGUUGGGGAUUCAUUUCCUUAGUAACGUAGCUAACGCGUGAAGUUGACCGCCUGGGGAGUACGGUCGCAAGAUUAAAACUCAAAUGAAUUGACGGGGUCAUAGCUGUUUCCU
rnacentral:rRNA from 1 species